rnacentral:misc_RNA from 1 species
GGUACCAGACGAGUGGCAGCUGUUGUGGUCGGGACCGAGUGCUCCGGAAGCUUACAUUAAGGAAUUUUGUCACCGAGCUCGUGCCGCUGUCGAUAGAAUUAAUGCCCCUGAAUUUAGCGAGGAUUAUAUGCCCGCAGAGGUAGACCUGCGACAAUUUCUGCGACCAGAGCGUCUGCUGUGCGCACUGCAAGCGCGCACGGCCGAGCGACGCGCCUGCCCUCUGCGGACACUCGCGCUGUCUGUCAAGUGGGAUUGCUCUCUCG